AGCGAACGUUAGCGGCGGGCCUAACACAUGCAAGUCGAACGAGAAUGUAGACUUCGGUCUACUAGUAAAGUGGCGGACGGGUGCGUAACACGUGGGUAAUCUACCUUCCGGCGGGGGACAACAGUCCGAAAGGAUUGCUAAUACCGCGUACGUCAGCGGCGCCUACGGGCGCUGUUGGGAAAGAUGGACUCUCCUUGGAAGCUGUCACCGGAAGAUGAGCCAGCGUCCCAUCAGCUAGUUGGUGAGGUAAUGGCUCACCAAGGCUAAGACGGGUAGCUGUUCUGAGAUGAUAAUCAGCAACACUGGGACUGGGAAACGGCCCAGACUCCUACGGGAGGCAGCAGUGGGGAAUAUUGGGCAAUGGGCGAAAGCCUGACCCCGCCACGCCGCGUGAGUGAUGAAGGCCUCCGGGUCGUAAGGCUCUGUGGGGAGGGACGAACAAAUCUGGGGCUAAUCACCCGGAUCCUGACGGUACCUCCUUAGCAAGCACCGGCUAACCCUGUGCCAGCAGCCGCCGUAAAAC
rnacentral:rRNA from 1 species